CACGUAGGGACCAAGCGUUGUCCGGAUUCAUUGGGCGUAAAGAGCUCGUAGGCGGUUCGAUAAGUCGGGUGUGAAACCUCCAGGCUCAACCUGGAGACGCCACCCGAUACUGUCGUGACUAGAGUCCAGUAGGGGAGCGUGGAAUUCCUGGUGUAGCGGUGAAAUGCGCAGAUAUCAGGAGGAACACCAGCGGCGAAGGCGGCGCUCUGGGCUGGAACUGACGCUGAGGAGCGAAAGCCAGGGGAGCAAACGGG
rnacentral:rRNA from 1 species